CUGUUACAUAAUGCUGCAGCAGGAUUCUACCAUCACACCAACCUGUGAAGAGACGGAAGAAUCUGACAACAUUUUAAUAAUCACAGCGAUCAUCACUGUAAUAAUAUUUAGAGGUUUCAUUUAAAAGAUAAUGAUGGAAGUUUGACCACAUGAGUUUUUUAUUGUAGAUUUAGACCUGCAGGCCCAACAGGUGAGUCAAUGAUAUUAGAAAGAUCUGUGCAUUUAGGGACAAAGAAAACUAAAUACUUCAAUCUGAUUCAAUCCACUUUUAACUUGGAGAACAGAUGAGAGCAGAAACACCUCCACUGCUACUCCACCUUCCUCUCCACUACAACUUCUCCCCUUCCUCCUCCAUCUCCUUCAAAUGUCUCAACCACUUCAUCUGCCUCCCUCCUCGAACUCCAGUCCUUGUCUGUCACAGAAACUGGGGUGAGGAAGGAGCUUGGAAGACUUUGUCCUGGGAAGACAGCUGGUCCAGGUGGUGUGUGUCCAAGGCUGCUCAGAGACUGUGCUGCAGAACUGUGUCAACCUCUCCACAAGAUCUUCAACCUGAGUCUACAGCUGUGGCGGGUACCUGCUCUGUGGAAAACCUCC